CAUAUCGUAUACUCGGUAACGGUCGAAGUGAUUGUAACGGUUCGUGUAAGUCAAAGUGUAACUCUCGCGCGCGCCUUUAUCAGUGCUAGUGCAAACUAAACAGCUUUGUUUUUUUUCGAAAGUUUGGGCUUGAACAAAGUGCCGCUGGUUAAAAUACAAAAAGGCAAGACACUAAAAUUCAUAUGAAAUUAUAUUUUUGUGUGUGCGAAUCCGAAUAAAAGUAAAAUUGGUUUUGUAAAAGAAAUAAAGAGAUGCUUAGUCACCAUGCACACACAUGCAUAGAUAGCCAGCAAGUUAUAUGCAUGUCAGAUCUUCAAUCAAAAUAUCUCAAAGGAGAAAAGUGUGUUUGAGAAAAAAAAAAUGCAAAAUAGUUUUGAUUUGGUUUAAUGUUUCGUAAAAUAUUAGCGGUUUCAAGCAAGAGCAAAAGCGGUCACCAAUAAACGUCCAAGAAGAAAAAGAAGAGGCGAGCAAAGAUUUCUACAUUGUUUGCUGCAAAUUAAAACAAAUCAAGCGUAAGUCUGCUGCACUCAUUCGAUCCGGGCAACUAAGACGACAUAUUUUUUGGCCGCAUUCCCAAAAUCAUUGCAAUCAAUCGACAAAUAUUCAAUAAAAAAACUCAGUGUGUGGCAGUAUUGCAGCUGAAUCCCAUCCUAUUGUGUUGUAGAGGGGAAUGUACAUAAAACCCACUGAAUGUUGUGGAUGCUGUGGCGACACCAGUCAAUGGUUGUGUUGUUGUUGUCUUGUUAUGGCUGGACGACUUUUGUUGUAGACAUUAAAAAUAUUUCAUCAACAUUAUCUGGAACUUGAUUACAAGAAACGUGAAAGAAAGGCAGCAGCGUAAACAAAAAAAAAGUCAACUAAAACAUGCCUUAAAUUUAAGCCCGCUUUUGUGUUUGCAAUUCAAGCCAUUGAUAUUGCUCUUCCACACGCACACUAUCAUCUCUCUGAAAAAAGGAACUAUUUACGAGCAAUUGAAGAUAACUCUCACCGGCGUUGGCAAGUGUCUUGUGCCGGCUUUGUAGCAAGAAAAGAAGUGUGCAAAUUUUUUUAAACAUUUUUUAUGCAUCUCACACAAGAUUUAUGAAUGAAUUGUAUUUGUUGUGUUUCGGCAGCAGUGAGAUUUGGAGAGCAAGUGAGUGAAAGCCGGAUUUCAAACAUUUGUGACUUUAAACUACAACAACAAUGUUUCAUUAAUGUCAUUUGGCAAGUUUCCAAUGCUGCCAUGCUGCACAUAAAUCAAUGGACCAAGCCGGCCGCGGAUAGCCACUGAGAGGCCUAAAGUACAUUAAAGAUUGACGAGAAUUCGGUUGUGGAGUCUCUUUAUCCAUACGCAAAGAAAAUGCUAUAAAACCAAAAGUGUCUUAUAACCAAAUUUCGAGACACAACUCAUCAUCUUCAUCAUCAACAACAACAUCAUCGGCCAGAUUAACAGUUCAUUCAUCAUUGCUGCUGCAGCUUCAGUCUUCAAUUUUCUUCUGCCGCAGCCUUUAAGUCGAGAAACGACGUGCUGCUAUUUGUGUCAUUAUAUCGUAACGUAGUUAUUCGCCAUAUUAAUCCCAUUUUCCAUUGGCCUUAAUAAGUGGCCAGCGUUACCGCCACACUGCAUUGCAUUGGAUUGAACGCCUUGGCGUUCUUCAUUUAAGGCCGUUCAAGCUGUCACCGUAGAAAUGCAGAAUAUCGGUCGAUGUUCGCCGCUGCUGCUGCUGUUACUGUUUUUGGUCUGUUCGCUUUACGCUGUUUCAACGGAGGCGUCUCGGUCAAG